rnacentral:lncRNA from 1 species
AUUCCUGAGCCUCAGUUUCCAGGGAAUGGCAUAACUGAUAAUUGAGGAGGAGUCAUGCAGUAUUCAUUCAGCUGCUCUUCUCCGAGACUCUGCUAUCUGCUGAGAGACCCUUGAGACAUUCCUGAGACACAUCCUAUCCUGUAUGUCACCUACAGGCUGCCUCCAGAUAUCUAGUUAUGUUGGUCCUAUCAAGGAUUGUCGUGAGAUAAAGAAAAACGUCUCUGGAAAAUUUAUCAGACUAUUCACAAGAAGGUGUUCAAAAUGUCAUUCAUCUGCUAAAGGUCUUCCAUGAUGGGACAGUUUGUGUGCAUGCUCUUAUCCACAGCGGAAGAAGUUAUCUCUCCAUCUAACUCACAUCUGGCCAUGGUCCAGAAAUGAAGAAUUCUGAGUACUUGUGAGAAAACUCCAAGAAACCAAGACAAGAGUCUUGUGACCUGUUUCUCCAAAAUAGAGAACUGUUCUUGGCAAUUUUUUUUUGUGCCUCUCAAGGUGUAGUGGGUAAGAGUGAGUUUACUUCAGAUUACUCAUUAAUGUUUGCUGCUGUUAGUCAAUUAAACAUUUAAACUAUCCUUU